CCUACGGGAGGCAGCAGUGGGGAACGAUGGACAAUGGGGGCAACCCUGAUCCAGCAAUGCCGCGUGAGUGAUGAAGGCCUUAGGGUUGUCGAUGCUCUUUUACCAGGGAUGAUAAUGACAGUACCUGGAGCGAUAAGCUCCGGCUAACUCCGUGCCAGCCGAUCGCGGUAAUACGGAGGGAGCUAGCGUUGCGAUUACUGGGCGUAAAGCGCACGUAGGCGGUUACUCAAGUCAGAGGUGAAAGCCCGCGAUGGCUCAACCCCGCGAUACUGCCUUUGAAACUAGGUAACUAGAAUCCUGGAGAGGUCGAUUGGAAUUCCGAGUGUAGAGGUGAAAUUCGUAGAUAUUCGGAAGAACACCAGUGGCGAUAGGCGGCUCACUGGCGAUUAUUGACGCUGAGGUGCGAAAGCGUGGGGAGCAAACGAUGGAUUAGAUACCCUGGUAGUCCACGCCGUAAACGAUGAUAACUAGCUGUCCGGGUUCGAUGGAAUUUGGGUGGCGCAGCUAACGCAUUAAGUUAUCCGCCUGGGGA
rnacentral:rRNA from 1 species